AGCUUUUUUGGAUUACAAGUGAUAAGAGUAGGUGUAGGAGUAGGACUCAUUUAUUGAAUCUGGUGAUUUGCGUCGGAAGGUUGAGAAUAUAAAGAGCGUGUGAAACUAAGCCAUGUAAUCUAAAACUUUACCGAAACUUUCAGAUCUCGCCUAUUUACCGAUCCAAUUGCUAGUGCAGUAAUAGUUGCUUGAAUUUUCACCGGAUGAAUCUUCUCUUGAAUAAAACCGCCAAUAAGAGCUAGUCAAGUUGACUACUGAAAAUAUACGAUAUUGAAGAUGGCGUAUGUAGUGCUUGUAAUGGUCUGGUGGAUGGUGGACGCUUUCCACUCUUACUUAGCAUUCAGUAUUACACAAAUGGAUUAAGGAGAAGCGGUAAACGAUUUCAUGAGGUUCGUUUAUUAUAAUGGGUUGAGUAACACGAUUCAAAUUGAGUCAAAAUAUUUUUCGAAGAUAAUCCGCCAAUUUUCUAUAACUCAUAUAUUAAUGCAUUCGUUCAAAUGAUAUUAAUACAUACGUGUAAAUAAGGGACAAAUAGGUAUAAAAAACACGGCGAUAAGAAAUGGAAUU
rnacentral:lncRNA from 1 species